AGGGGGAUAACGGUUGGAAACGACCGCUAAUACCCCAUAUGCCUACUGGUGAAAUGAAUUUCGCCUGAGGAUGAGCUCGCGUCUGAUUAGCUUGUUGGUGAGGUAAUGGCUCACCAAGGCUUCGAUCAGUAGCUGGUCUGAGAGGAUGAUCAGCCACACUGGGACUGAGACACGGCCCAGACUCCUACGGGAGGCAGCAGUGGGGAAUUUUCCGCAAUGGGCGAAAGCCUGACGGAGCAACGCCGCGUGAGGGACGAAGGCCUCUGGGCUGUAAACCUCUUUUCUCAAGGAAGAAGAUAUGACGGUACUUGAGGAAUAAGCCACGGCUAAUUCCGUGCCAGCAGCCGCGGUAAUACGGGAGUGGCAAGCGUUAUCCGGAAUUAUUGGGCGUAAAGCGUCCGCAGGCGGCUUUUCAAGUCUGCUGUUAAAGCGUGGAGCUUAACUCCAUCAUGGCAGUGGAAACUGAAAGGCUUGAGUAUGGUAGGGGCAGAGGGAAUUCCCGGUGUAGCGGUGAAAUGCGUAGAUAUCGGGAAGAACACCAGUGGCGAAGGCGCUCUGCUGGGCCAUUACUGACGCUCAUGGACGAAAGCCAGGGGAGCGAAAGGGAUUAGAUACCCCUGUAGUCCUGGCCGUAAACGAUGAACACUAGGUGUCGGGGGAAUCGACCCCUUCGGUGUCGUAGCUAACGCGUUAAGUGUUCCGCCUGGGGAGUACGCACGCAAGUGUGAAACUCAAAGGAAUUGACGGGGGCCCGCACAAGCGGUGGAGUAUGUGGUUUUAUUCGAUGCAACGCGAAGAACCUUACCAGGGUUUGACAUCCUGCGAACCUCUUAGAAAUUUGAGGGUGCCUUCGGGAAUGCAGUGACAGGUGGGGCAU
rnacentral:rRNA from 1 species